rnacentral:rRNA from 1 species
GACGGAGGGGGCUAGCGUUGUUCGGAAUUACUGGGCGUAAAGGGCGCGUAGGCGGCCGAUCAAGUUAGGCGUGAAAUCCCUGGGCUUAACCCAGGAACUGCGUUUAAUAUUGAUUGGCUAGAGAUUGGUAGAGGAAAGUGGAAUUCCUAGUGUAGAGGUGAAAAUUCGUAGAUAUUAGGAAGAACACCAGAGGCGAAGGCGACUUUCUGGGCCAAUACUGACGCUGAGGCGCGAAAAGCGUGGGGGAGCAAACAGG